rnacentral:rRNA from 1 species
GACCAGACUCCUACGGGAGGCAGCAGUGGGGAAUAUUGCACAAUGGGGGAAACCCUGAUGCAGCGACGCCGCGUGAGUGAAGAAGUAUUUCGGUAUGUAAAGCUCUAUCAGCAGGGAAGAUAAUGACGGUACCUGACUAAGAAGCCCCGGCUAACUACGUGCCAGCAGCCGCGGUAAUACGUAGGGGGCAAGCGUUAUCCGGAUUUACUGGGUGUAAAGGGUGCGUAGGUGGCAGGGCAAGUCAGAUGUGAAAGCCCGGGGCUCAACCCCGGUACUGCAUUUGAAACUGUCCAGCUGGAGUGCAGGAGAGGUAAGCGGAAUUCCUAGUGUAGCGGUGAAAUGCGUAGAUAUUAGGAGGAACACCAGUGGCGAAGGCGGCGUACUGGACUGUAACUGACACUGAGGCACGAAAGCGUGGGGAGCAAACAGGAUUAGAUACCCCGGUAACC